UUACGGCCAUAUCACGUUUUAACACCAGUUCUCGUCCGAUCACCGAAGUUUAGCAACGGUGAACUUGGUCAGUACCUAGAUGAGUGACUGCUUGGGAAUACCAGGUGCUGU